CCUACGGGAGGCAGCAGUGAGGAAUAUUGGUCAAUGGGCGCGAGCCUGAACCAGCCAAGUAGCGUGAAGGAUGACUGCCCUAUGGGUUGUAAACUUCUUUUAUAAAGGAAUAAAGUUAGGCACGUGUGCCUUUUUGUAUGUACUUUAUGAAUAAGGAUCGGCUAACUCCGUGCCAGCAGCCGCGGUAAUACGGAGGAUCCGAGCGUUAUCCGGAUUUAUUGGGUUUAAAGGGAGCGUAGGUUGGUUGUUAAGUCAGUUGUGAAAGUUUGCGGCUCAACCGUAAAAUUGCAAUUGAUACUGGCAGUCUUGAGUGUAGUUGAGGUAGGCGGAAUGCGUGGUGUAGCGGUGAAAUGCUUAGAUAUCACGCAGAACCCCGAUUGCGAAGGCAGCUUACUAAGCUGUGACUGACAUUGAUGCACGAAAGUGUGGGUAUCAAACAGGAUUAGAUACCCGGGUAGUC
rnacentral:rRNA from 1 species